rnacentral:rRNA from 1 species
UACGUAGGGCGCGAGCGUUGUCCGGAAUUAUUGGGCGUAAAGAGCUCGUAGGCGGUCUGUUGCGUCCGCUGUGAAAACUCGGGGCCUAACCGCGAGCCUGCAGUGGAUACGGGCAGACUAGAGGUAGGUAGGGGAGAAUGGAAUUCCCGGUGUAGCGGUGAAAUGCGCAGAUAUCGGGAGGAACACCGGUGGCGAAGGCGGUUCUCUGGGCCUUACCUGACGCUGAGGAGCGAAAUCGUGGGGAGCGAACAGG